rnacentral:rRNA from 1 species
AUGGAUCACAACCCGGGGAUCAUUUGCUGGAACGUGAGAGGGCUUAAUAACCCUGCCAAGAGGAAAGUAGUUAGGGAGUUUCUUUCUUCGCUUAGAGUAAACCUAGUCUGCUUACAAGAGACCAAGCUCGAGACUAUAAACCAGUUUGAUGUUAUGCAAUGUUUAGGGCCAUCCCUUGAUGGCUUUGCAUACUUGCCAGCUGUGGAAAUGCGUGGUGGUAUCUUAUUGGGUUGGGACACGACGCGUCUAUCUGUGGACUGCAUCCAACUCGAUCCAAACUUCCUCACGGGCAAAGUCCGUCAAAUUGAUGGCAAUGAUUGGUGGAUCUCGGGGGUCUAUGCGCCGCAAGGUGAUGAGCUCAAAACGCAAUUCCUCCAAGAUCUUUAUGGCAGGAGGCUGCUUUGUCCAGGGACUUGGAUGUGCCUUGGCGACCAACAUGAUUCUCAGGGGAUCCGAAAAGAGCAAUCAGAAUAUCAGUAG